AACAAUUCAAACAAGUUGGCAAAAUUAGCUUCCAAGUCGAAAGAGAUGACUCCAAGGAACAUGAGUUCUGCACAGGCAGUACCUCCAAAGUAGAAUGAAAACAAUGUAGCUCUUGAUGGAGAAUUGCCUAAUGGAAAAGUCUCGAGUGGUGUUUGAACAAUCGAGCCAUUAAUCCAUCUUCCGGGGGUAUCUACACAAAUGGCAAAAUUAGUUGUCUAAUCUUCCCAUGAACAGGAGCAGAGCAUCGGUGAUCCGGUUCUGUUGAUGAGGAUUUUGACUGAAAAUGCUCAAAAGUAACAAAAUUCUUAAAAUCAGUUCCUAGCUGAUACUCCACCAGCUAUGCCAUCUGUUUAGCCUAUUAGAUUAGAUGAGUCAAGCAACGCUGCCGCUGCCGCUGCUCUUGCAUGGAUGUCUAUAGGGGCCGGAGCCUUUAAGGAAGCAACUGAAAACCCUGGCACUUCAAAAGGCAAAUUAUCCGCAGAAUCGUUAUACAACCCGGCUAGGGAACUUCAUCCACAAGCUUCACAAGUUUGAGGGCAGUUCCCUC